rnacentral:lncRNA from 1 species
UUAUUCACUUAUCACAUUAGUUAUACCUUUUGUGGUUAAUAAUUUUCAAGAUAUAACUUUUUAUACUAGCAAAUAUGCAUGUCUAUUUGCAUGUUUGAUAAAAUAGUGAUAAUUAAUUCAAGUUAAUAGUUAUUUAUUAUAUUUUUUAUAUUAAUUAUUAAUUAAAAUAAGCAUAUUAAUAAUAACAAAAAAGAAGAUC